rnacentral:rRNA from 1 species
CCUACGGGUGGCAGCAGUGAGGAAUAUUGGACAAUGGGCGCGAGCCUGAUCCAGCCAAGCCGCGUGAGGGAUGACUGCUCUAUGGGCUGUAAACUUCUUUUAUAUGGGAAUAAAACGUUCCACGUGUGGGUUCUUGUAUGUACCAUAUGAAACCGGAUCGGCUAACUACGUGCCGGCCGCCGCGGUAAUACGGAGGAUCCGUGCGUUAUCCGGAUUUAUUGGGUUUAAAGGGAGCGUAGGGGGUUGGUUAGGUCAGUUGUGAAAGUUUGCGGCUCAACCGUAGAAUUGCAGUUGAAACUGGCAGUCUUGAGUACAGUAGAGGAGGGCGGAAUUCGUGGUGUAGCGGUGAAAUGCUUAGAUAUAACGAAGAACUCCGAUUGCGAAGGCAGUUGACUGGACUGCAACUGACACUGAGGCUCGAAAGUAUGGGUAGCGAACAGGAUUAGAUACCCCAGUAGUC